rnacentral:tRNA from 1 species
GGCGAUGUAGCUCCAAAUGGCAAGAGCAUCACUCUCGUAAAGGGAAGGCUGAGAGUUCAAGUCUCUCCAUCGCCUUCA